rnacentral:ncRNA from 2 species
UAUAAUUUAGGAAAAAUUGAAGCAUGUAUUUAUUUGGGCGCUUGGUACAUGUGGAAAAUAGUAGCGCAACCGGCCUGGUUUAUA